AUUGAACGCUGGCGGCAGGCUUAACACAUGCAAGUCGAGCGAGCGGCGGACGGGUGAGUAAUGUCUGGGAAACUGCCUGAUGGAGGGGGAUAACUACUGGAAACGGUAGCUAAUACCGCAUACCAUCAGAUGUGCCCAGAUGGGAUUAGCGAGUAGGUGGGGUAAGGGCUCACCUAGGCGACGAUCCCUAGCUGGUCUGAGAGGAUGACCAGCCACACUGGAACUGAGACACGGUCAAGACUCCGACGGGAGGCAGCAGUGGGGAAUCUUCCGCAAUGGACGAAAGUCUGACGGAGCAACGCCGCGUGAGUGAUGAAGGCCUUCGGGUUGUAAAGCACUUUCAGCGAGGAGGCGUUACUCGCAGAAGAAGCACCGGCUAACUCCGUGCCAGCAGCCGCGGUAAUAC
rnacentral:rRNA from 1 species